UAGUAUCUGUGGCUGAUGGCAUCUUCCUAUCUUACUCUCAUUUUCCUCAAUAUGUUCCGAGGUGAGGAGGGAUUUUCCCUCCUCCGGUUGGUAUAGUAGUUAGUGAUCUAAAAAAUGCGCUCUCAUAAGUAUCCAAAUUUUAUUUUGGUUCUGCAUCAACUAAAACAAUGUAUGAAUUCAGAUUUAUCGCAGUGGUUCACAACUUCCC
rnacentral:lncRNA from 1 species